AUCUACAAAUUAUGCUAGUCCUUCAUGAAGACUUUUUGACUACAUAAGUGGAAAUUGUCCUGUUCGGAUCUUGUUCUGGAGAUUGAAUCUGCUUGGCAACUGGAUCUUUUGCAACUGCUGGCUCUAACUUGUGUACUAAACAUACAUUGUGUGCUAAACAUACACACAGAUGAAGAAUAUUUUAUUCCAGCUGACUAUUUACAAAAUUUCUUCAGGCUCUGGUUCUGCCCAUAACAGCUCAACAGAAGAUUUGACUUGAAGCAACAAGUGUUUUAAAAGUCUUUGGAACAACAGGAUGAAGCCCUGUGUGCAAGUCCUUCUCUAAAUGUGUCUGAAGAAAAGAAAUGUAAUUUGUUGAACUAUUGAUCACAAAUACCUAAAAAUAAUGAAUAAAAGUAAAUUGUGUCUCUUUUUGGAAAGAAACAGCUCUGUGAGGUCCCACAUACAUAUUGUUUUUUAAAGGAUGAUAAAGAUGAUUGAAAGAAGCUGCGUGGCCUUCUGACUCUGACUUGAUGAAUGAGGCCAAUGUCCACAGAUUUCUUAGUGGAACACAGCUUCUAAUUGCACGGCUUGUACUUGUGUCAAACAAAGGCAGAGGGAUUCAAAGAAACAAACAUAUCAAAGUCAGUUGGUUAUUAUGAGUUUCCUCUGCUUCAGACUGUUAAGCAAAAUCUCUUGAGAGUCUGUCUAUGGCUGCUUUAACUCCACUUGGGAUGCCUCAGCUGUUUUUGAUAUUCUCUUUGCCAUCAGGACAUCUUGCUGGCAAUUAUUUCAGUGUCUGACCCUCUGUGAGUUUCAGAACCAUUCCUGUAAUAAUGAUACUGUCACUAAAAUGAU